UAGUGUGUUAGCAGAUAUGUAGAGCGGACAACAAACACACAGGUUAUUGUGUUAGCAGAUAUGUAGAGUGGACAACAAACACACAGGUUAUUGUGUUAGCAGAUAUGUAGAGUGGACAACAAACACACAGGUUAUUGUGUUAGCAGAUAUGUAGAGUGGACAACAAACACACAGGUUAUUGUGUUAGCAGAUAUGUAGAGUGGACAACAAACACACAGGUUAUUGUGUUAGCAGAUAUGUAGAGUGGACAACAAACACACAGGUUAUUGUGUUAGCAGAUAUGUAGAGUGGACAACAAACACACAGGUUAUUGUGUUAGCAGAUAUGUAGAGUAGACAACAAACACACAGGUUAUUGUGUUAGCAGAUAUGUAGAGUGGACAACAAACACACAGGUUAUUGUGUUAGCAGAUAUGUAGAGUGGACAACAAACACACAGGUUAUUGUGUUAGCAGAUAUGUAGAGUGGACAACAAACACACAGGUUAUUGUGUUAGCAGAUAUGUAGAGUGGACAACAAACACACAGGUUAUUGUGUUAGCAGAUAUGUAGAGUGGACAACAAACACACAGGUUAUUGUGUUAGCAGAUAUGUAGAGUGGACAACAAACACACAGGUUAUUGUGUUAGCAGAUAUGUAGAGUAGACAACAAACACACAGGUUAUUGUGUUAGCAGAUAUGUAGAGUAGACAACAAACACACAGGUUAUUGUGUUAGCAGAUAUGUAGAGUGGACAACAAACACACAGGUUAUUGUGUUAGCAGAUAUGUAGAGUGGACAACAAACACACAGGUUAUUGUGUUAGCAGAUAUGUAGAGUAGACAACAAACACACAGGUUAUUGUGUUAGCAGAUAUGUAGAGUGGACAACAAACACACAGGUUAUUGUGUUAGCAGAUAUGUAGAGUGGACAACAAACACACAGG